AAAAGGCACCUUGUGGAUGGGGUUUUUACUUUUGCCCAUAAACCCUACAAAAGGGCAAAGAAUUUGAAAUCCCAAUUAGCCAAAGAUUUUAACUCAACCUAAUGAUCUCCGGAACCCGCCACCAAUCCAUCAGACACCUUCUACUUCUCUGCAGAGCUUCCUCGCCGGAAUCCACCAACAACUCCGUCGCCGUUCUCCACCGCAGCCAUUUUCUCAAUCAGCACCAUCGAUCCAUCACGAAAGUAAGGCUAAAAUGGGUUAAGAACCGCAGCAUCGAUCACAUAAUCGACGUCGAGACCGAUCUCAAGGCCGCUUCU
rnacentral:lncRNA from 1 species